GGCUCGGUAGUGGACGGUCCACAUCUGCUUUCUGUGGGUUGCGAUGGUCAGGGAUUCAAACAGGAGAAGCCCGUUCGAUUCGGGCCCGGGCCA